rnacentral:rRNA from 1 species
UACGGAGGGUGCGAGCGUUAAUCGGAAUUACUGGGCGUAAAGGGUGCGUAGGUGGUUUAAUAAGUUAAGUGUGAAAGACCCGGGCUUAACCUGGGAUGGUCAUUUAAGACUGUUAGACUAGAGUAUGGGAGAGGGUAGUGGAAUUUCCGGUGUAGCGGUGAAAUGCGUAGAGAUCGGAAGGAACACCAGUGGCGAAGGCGGCUACCUGGCCUAAUACUGACACUGAGGCACGAAAGCAUGGGGAGCAAACAGG